rnacentral:lncRNA from 1 species
CUCCUGUGUGUUUCUUUGUGCAUGUGAACAAUUGUGCAUCCACGGGAUGUUCUCAUUUUUCAAGGUGUAAUUUUUCCCAACUAAAUUGAGCAGAACAAUACUGGACAACAGGGGAAGAACAAAGAGGAUGAGGAGGACAGAAGAAGAGGUGGAGAAACAGGGACAAGGAGAAGGAAAGUAAGAGGAGCAGGAGGAAGGAGAAAGAGAAGCAGAAGAGAUAAAACAGGCAGAAGCUAUCUUAAUAUGAGGAAAGGCAAAACAUCAUAAAAAAUUCAUCAGUGUAAUUGAACAUGUCUCUGCCUGGAAAUAUUUCAAACAGUCACUCUUAAUU